rnacentral:rRNA from 1 species
ACUCAAAUGAAUAGACGGGGGCCCGCACAAGCGGUGGAGCAUGUGGUUUAAUUCGACGCAACGCGAAGAACCUUACCCAGGCUCGAACGGCAUUGGACAUCUCCCGAAAGGGAGCUUCCGCAAGGACCGGUGUCGAGGUGCUGCAUGGCUGUCGUCAGCUCGUGUCGUGAGAUGUUGGGUUAAGUCCCGCAACGAGCGCAACCCUUGUCUUCUGUUGCCAUCAGGUUAUGCUGGGCACUCUGAAGAGACUGCCGGUGACAAACCGGAGGAAGGUGGGGAUGACGUCAAGUCAGCAUGGCCUUUAUGUCUGGGGCCACACACGUGCUACAAUGGCAGAUACAAACCGUUGCGAGACCGCAAGGUGGAGCUAAUCGGAGAAAGUCUGUCUCAGUUCGGAUUGUAGGCUGCAACUCGCCUGCAUGAAGUUGGAAUCGCUAGUAAUCGCGGAUCAGCACGCCGCGGUGAAUACGUUCCCGGGCCUUGCACACACCGCCCGU